rnacentral:rRNA from 1 species
UACGGGGGGGGCAAGCGUUGUUCGGAAUUACUGGGCGUAAAGCGCACGUAGGCGGCUUUGUAAGUUAGAGGUGAAAGCCCGGGGCCCAACUCCGGAAUUGCCUUUAAGACUGCAUCGCUAGAAUUGUGGAGAGGUAAGUGGAAUUCCGAGUGUAGAGGUGAAAUUCGUAGAUAUUCGGAAGAACACCAGUGGCGAAGGCGACUUACUGGACACAUAUUGACGCUGAGGUGCGAAAGCGUGGGGAGCAAACAGG